GCCAGGAAAAGUACUGGAAGCUAUAAUAUAAGGCUGCAUCCUGAGGUACAAGAGCAUAACUUGAGCAUUAGUGGUUGUGAUGCUUGUUGCCUGCAGCCCCCACUUUGUAUUCCCCCUCCCAGGCCUCUUCUGGCUCCUGUCAUGCUGCUGGAGUGCAGCUGAUCUGGUGUCUCUGCUUAUCUUGAGGUGGCUGGAGGAAGAAAUCUCUCUAGGAAGCACCAGAACAUAUACCAGUAAUGAUGAGGCCAUAUGGAUGAGCUUGUGACAGAGGCAGGAAGGGAGCACAUGGCAGUGAGUGAGGUGUCCUGGCAGAACAAUCAUGCCACCCCCUUUGGCAUGGCUUUCUACAGAGAUGGUACUGUUUGGGUUGUUGUCUUUUUUUUCAUUCUUCCCUGCUUGUCAGCAGGGAGCAUAUGGUGAGGAAUGGGGGAAGAGAAGGCAAAAUCCUGAUAUCACUUCCACUCCGAACAAAAGCUAGGCAUCCCCUACAAAAGCCAAAAUCUAUCCUGAUAGAAUUGCCCUGUGGGAACAGAGCUGUCUCCUUGUUCCCAUAACGGAGUAACUUACAUGUCCACAGGAGGUAAUGGAAUUGCUCCUAUGCAAUUGUUGGGCAACUCAGAGUUGAUCACAAGCUGUACUUUGGUUGUCCACUAGGUAAAAUAAAAUUCUGUUCAAAAUGUA